UGCUAUUUUGGCAGAAUAAAUGUAAUGGUUUUAGAAAUCAUAAAUAUAUAAUUUAAUUAUAUAUAUAGUAG
rnacentral:tRNA from 1 species